rnacentral:rRNA from 1 species
GCAGCCGCCGCGGUAAUACGGAGGGAGCUAGCGUUGUUCGGAAUUACUGGGCGUAAAGCGCACGUAGGCGGUUAUUCAAGUCAGAGGUGAAAGCCCGGGGCUCAACCCCGGAACUGCCUUUGAAACUAGAUGACUGGAAUCUUGGAGAGGUCAGUGGAAUUCCGAGUGUAGAGGUGAAAUUCGUAGAUAUUCGGAAGAACACCAGUGGCGAAGGCGACUGACUGGAAAAGUAUUGACGCUGAGGUGCGAAAGCGUGGGGAGCAAACAGGAUUAGAUACCCCUGUAGUCCCUGUCUCUUAUAC